rnacentral:rRNA from 1 species
GACGAACGCUGGCGGCGUGCUUAACACAUGCAAGUCGAACGGUUUUUCAGGUGUAGCAAUACAUUUGAAGAGCAGUGGCGAACGGGUGCGUAACACGUGAACAAUCUACCUUUUAGUGUGGAAUAGCUCGGCGAAAGCCGGAUUAAUACCGCAUGUGGUUGCCUCUCGCAUGAGAGACAUACUAAAGUCAGGGACCGCAAGGCCUGACGCUAUUAGAGGAGUUCGCGGCCUAUCAGCUAGUUGGCGGGGUAACGGCUCACCAAGGCUAAGACGGGUAGCUGAUCUGAGAGGAUGAUCAGCCACACUGGAACUGAGACACGGUCCAGACGACCUACGGGUGGCAGCAGUUUCGAAUCAUUCACAAUGGGCGAAA